rnacentral:lncRNA from 1 species
AUGGGAGUACCAGAGUCUCGUCAUUUCUCUGUGGAUUUACCAGAGCCUCUCCAGGUCUCUGAUGAACUACCAGAGUCUCUCCAUGUAUCUGAUGAUUUACCAGAGUCUCUCCUCGCUUCUGCGGAACUUCCAGAGCCUCGUCACAUCUCAGUUGAACUCUCUGAGCACCCGACUGAUCCUGCUGUGGCCAUGGAGGCUACCCUUAACUUGUUCAGAUUAUUUGUUUCAGAGCCAGAUUAUUUGUUUCAGAGCCAGAUUAUUUGUUUCAGACUUGCCCAAUCAGACGUAUCCUCCUGUUUAAUCGGCCACAUGGAGGUGGUGGUCUUCUGCUCUGCCCUGGGAGGCGUCUGGUUCGGACAAAUGGAUGUGGUGGUCUUCUGCUCCACCCUGGGGGGCGUCUGGUUCGGAAGCACGGAUUUGGUGGUCUUCUGCUCUGCCCUGGGGGGCGUCUGGUUCAGACGCACAGAUGUGGUGGUCUUCUGCUCCGCCCUGGGGGGUGUCUGGUUCGGACACACGGAUGUGGUGGUCUUCUGCUCUGCCCUGGGGGGCGUCUGGUUCGGACACACUGAUGUGGUGGUCUUCUGCUCCGCCCUGGGGGGCAUCUGGUUCGGACGCACUGAUGUGGUGGUCUUCUGCUUCGCCCUGGGGGGGGGUCUGGUUCGGCCGCACAGAUGUGGUGAUCUUCUGCUCCGCCCUGGGGGGCGUCUGGUUUGGACGCACAGAUGUGGUGGUCUUCUGCACCGCCUUGGUGGGCGUCACGUGAUGUCCUUCUUGGACUUGUGUUUUUGUGUUUUUUUUUUGUUUUGUUUUUUCUGUCUGUCUUCCUCCUAUGAACCGUCCCUCCCCCUGAUCCUCCGCUGGUCCACCUCCCUCCUGCACUCCUUGUUUUGUGUUGCACUUCUCUUGUCUCCGUUUCCCCAUUUUACCUGGUCGUCUUGUCUCCGUUUCCCCAUUCUACCUGGUCCUCUUGUCUCUGUUUUACCAUUUUAUCUGGCCCUCCGUCCCUCCCCCUGGUCCUCCGCCAUUCCACCUCCCUCCUGGUCUCUUUGUGUCUUUGGUUUUCCUUUGGGUUCGGGUGGAGCAUCUGGCAGCUGCUCCGUGGAGGAGGGGGUAAUAUGUCACACUAUCUAG